GAUUCCUGUUUUGGAGAAAGAAAAAUAGUCAUGAGAUUCCAACAUCUUGAGAGGGGCUGGCUAGAGAGGAGAAAGGGGGAAGUGCUUGCCAAAUGUCCAUCUCCAAGUAGGCAAUGUUUGAUAUGAGAAUGGAGUGGUAAGUAGAAAUCAGCCAUAUGAAACUCUCAAGCAUAUGCAAAUGUGGGAAAAGUGGAAUAAUGCUACCUUCCUGAAAAUUCCUAAUUGCCUGAAACAGACAUCUUCAUGAAGGUACAGGAAAAGAAUAAGCAAACCUUCAAAUGCCUCUUCCCCAUCAGCCCUCAUGUGGUCUUCCUCAGGUCCAUCUCGACUUUAAUUUAUCCUUUCUUUGAAAGCCACUUAGAAGCCAAUGCCUUUGUUACAUCAUUCACCAAUCACAAUGAGAACUGCUAUGACCAAAUUCCUCCCUAAACUUCCAACCAAAGGUGUAGAAACAUAUAAUCCUGAAUAAAAUCUGUGUUGUCUUUUGUUUUCUGCCAUAAAUGUUUACCAUAAAUUUACUAUGAUCCUUGACAUUUCAAAUUUAUAUUGCUGUUAUUAUUUUUUGUGAUAAUUUGUAGAGCUGAAGUUUGUCAAGUUUGUAUAAUGCAUUUAGCGCUGUAGUUAAGAGCAUGGGCUAUGAAUGGAUGCUAAUGGUAAGAUCUUACUGAAGCUACUUAGGUCAGCUUCAAUUUUCUUAUCACAAUAAUAAUAUUAUUAGUUUUAUAAAAGAUGAUGUAGAGAACUCAGCUUAGAGCCUGACAAAAACAAGCUUCCAAUAAAUUAAUAGUAAGAGUGAGAAAGAGAGGUAUACACUGCCAUCCCCUGCACACACCAUGAUUUCUUUUUUUUUUUUUUUUUUUUUGAGACGAAGUCUCACUCUGUCACCCAGGCUGGAAUGCAGUGGCGCGAUCCUGGCUCACCUCAACCUUUGCCUCCCAAGUUCAAGUGAUUCUUCUGCCUCAGCCUCCUGAGUAGCUGGGACUACAGGCACCCACCACCAUGCCUGGCUAAUUUUUGUGUUUUUAGUAGAGAUGGGAUUUCACCACGUUGGCCAGGCUGGUCUUAAACUCCUGACCUCAGGAAAUCUGCAUGCCUCAGCCUCCCAAAGUGCUGGGAUUACAGGCAUGAGCCACCAUGCCUGGCCUUGAGAUUGUUUUAAAUAUUGUAUGUAUAUAAAGAUCUUAGUAGUAGCAAAAACAAGGUUUAAUUUAGUUAUGCCAAAUUACUCUUUGAAUGGCCUCCUGAAACUCUUGCCUGGAAGACUGUGUGUGGUCAUCUAAGAAGGGCUAUUCGUCAACUUUCACUCAGAUGAAUUGUUUAACAUGGGAUGUGGGGAGCCUGAACUCCUGAAACCCACUAACUCUUGGUCACAGACUUCUUGUCAAGUUUCCAAUGCAAUCAUGGUGGGUCAUGAAAACGAAAUGCUGAUCGUCUUAUUUAAAUUCUCUCUGGUGUUUCCUUCUGUUCUUAAAGCCCUCAUUAAAUGCCUUUUUUUUCACACUAACACAAAUAUUUUCAGAGAAGACUGUCUUGAAGUCCAGAACUCUGCACUUGAAAAAGGACUCCAAAAGACAAGGGGGUGACUAAGUCCUGCACCCAAGGGUGUAAGGGAAUUCAGAGACUCAUAAGGUAGCCUUCACACUGUCCUCCUCAGCAACCUAGCCCCCGGCCAUUGGAGUUAACUCAGAGCAGUGGGAAACAGGGCUCAUCAGGAGAGCCUGUUGCAAUGUAAAAAAGACACUCAAGUAGCUCAGUGGAAUGGCCCACAUGAUGAGAAACUGAGAGCCAGCGUCAACUGCCCAUCACAUAAUUAAGCAAGCUUGGUAGCAGACCUUCUUGCUCCGGUCAAGCCUUCAGAUGACUGGAACCCCAGCUGACAACUCCACUGUAACCCUAUGAGAGCUGCCAAGCUAGAAUCACUCAGCCAAGCCACUCCUGAAUUCUGGAUCCCCAGAGUCUGUGUGAGAUAAUAAAUGUUCAUUGUUAUAAGCCACAAAGGUUUGAGGCCACUUGGUACAAAGCAAUAGAUAAUUAAGACAUUCUUCAUUCUAAGUUUUUACUCUAUACAAGGUUUAUGUCGUAUGUGUAUAUAUCCUUUCUGCCACCCCCUAACAUACACACAACCAUCUUUCAAGCAAGUCCUCCGUAUAGGAGCACAGGAAAAUAUCCAGGAGCAAUAGGUGGGCGUGUACACUUUGAUAAUCACACACUUUUAAGGAAUUAAAACUCUAAGUUAUUUGUGUCCAUUGCUAUACCUGCAUACAUAAUGAGGCCCAUCUGUAAAAUUUCCUCAUACAAGAAAUUAUUCACAAAAUUAAAUAUCACAUGUUUAAUCUUCAUUAAUAUAUAUAUGCUAAUUAAUUUGUAGCACAAUACAUCAUUCCAUUUUCUUACAGUAGCAUAAGCAGACUACUGCUGAUAUAAUUUUAUUACCCAGGUGGUUAUAAGCAUUGAGUUAAUGUCUUGUCAUUGACUUCUGCUAACUGGCAGAAUUGAGUUGUUUCAUACUAUUUCAGCUGGCAGUGAGAUAAAUGAGUUACACAGUUAAGAGGGACAUCUGCCUGAAAUACUGAUAAGCUGUAGCAGGACAGUUUAAAGCAAAUAUGAAUUCCUUCAGCAGCAGAAAAUUUUUACACAAUUAUUAACUGUAACUUCACUGUGAGUCAUGAUCACAUUAUAUAAAAAUGCUAAAGUACUAACAUUACCAGAAGCACUCAAAGCACAUAAUCUAUUAUUCAUUCCAUCUGUCCUUUGUCUUACAUAAAAUUAAUUUAUCAUUAACAUUUCAGAUCAAUGUUAAAAUAUGAUAAAAUUUGAGAAGAUAAACAUUUACUCUUUAUAUCACUAUAUUUCCAAGACUAAAACGACAAAGCAGAUGAAAGAUCAUAUCUUUGAAAACUUUUGGAUACCUGAAUAAUCUCUGUAAUAGAAUUGAUUAAAAACUGUUUUCAGUAUUAGUUUCCAAUACAAUAAUGGUUUGAAAACACAGAUUAUUUUAUUAGUAUUGAUGUAAAUUUCUUCUAUGAAAAUCUGGGUUCUAAAUUAACCUAAACAAUAUUAAAGGUAUUAAAUUAUAUUACAAUAAGAUUUCAACUCUAUACAAAUUAUAUUUCUGCAAAGCACAGAUGUUUUCUUUUGUAUAAGUCCAUGAAACAGCUUUUAGAGCGGCAUGAAUUACAGCAAAAUAAAAUUUAUAAAAAAUGAGAUUUAAAUGUUUUAUCCUUCAACAAAUAGCAGCAUAAUUUUACCAAAUACAAAAUGGUAUAAAAGGUAAUCAUUAGGAAAUGAGAAUCACAAACUGCUCUUCUGAAACAUUAAGAUAGACAAGGGUUAGCUAUUCAUCAUAGGUACUAGAUCUUUACACAUAACUUUAAAAAUUUGAUAUUUUCAUUUAAUACCCAUAUUAAUACAUUUAUAAAUUAUUGAAGGAGUAGGGAUGAGAGGUGUUUGCUUCUGACAUUAACUUGGCUAAGGGAGCCUUAUAUGUGUGGCAAUACGUAAGAAAUAAAAUUUCAAGUCAAUAAAUUUUUGCUUAGUCAAUUCUAUUUACUUUAUUUAUUAUUGUAUUAAAAUUGUACCCUUGCUAACCAAUG
rnacentral:lncRNA from 10 species